rnacentral:rRNA from 1 species
GACGAACGCUGGCGGCGUGCUUAACACAUGCAAGUCGAACGGAAAGGCCCUGCUUUUGUGGGGUGCUCGAGUGGCGAACGGGUGAGUAACACGUGAGUAACCUGCCCUUGACUUUGGGAUAACUACAGGAAACUGGGGCUAAUACCGGAUAGGAGCUCCUGCUGCAUGGUGGGGGUUGGAAAGUUUCGGCGGUUGGGGAUGGACUCGCGGCUUAUCAGCUUGUUGGUGGGGUAGUGGCUUACCAAGGCUUUGACGGGUAGCCGGCCUGAGAGGGUGACCGGCCACAUUGGGACUGAGAUACGGCCCAGACUUCUACGGGAGGCAGCAGUGGGGAAUAUUGCACAAUGGGCGGAAGCCUGAUGCAGCAACGCCGCGUGCGGGAUGACGGCCUUCGGGUUGUAAACCGCUUUCGCCUGUGACGAAGCGUGAGUGACGGUAAUGGGUAAAGAAGCACCGGCUAACUACGUGC